rnacentral:rRNA from 1 species
UACGGAGGGUGCGAGCGUUGUCCGGAAUUACUGGGCGUAAAGGGCUCGUAGGCGGCCAACUAAGUCGGAUGUGAAAUCCCCAGGCUUAACCUGGGAACUGCAUCCGAUACUGGAUGGCUUGAAUCCGGGAGAGGGAUGCAGAAUUCCAGGUGUAGCGGUGAAAUGCGUAGAUAUCUGGAGGAAUACCGGUGGCGAAGGCGGCAUCCUGGACCGGCAUUGACGCUGAUGAGCGAAAGCUAGGGGAGCAAACGGG